rfam:Triticum aestivum genome assembly, contig: Triticum_aestivum_CS42_TGACv1_scaffold_093693_2AL
CAAAUACUCCCUCCGUUCGGAAUUACUUGUCAUAAAAGUGGAUGUAUCUACAACUAAAAUACAUCUAGAUACAUUCAUUUUUUGGAUGAGUAAUUCUGAACGGAGGGAGUAGGAC